AUUGAACUCUGGCGGCAGGCCUAACACAUGCAAGUCGAGCGAUCGGCGGACGGGUGCGUAAUGUCUGGGAAACUGCCUGCUGGCGGGCGAUCACUACUGGACACGGUAGCUAAUACCGCAUACACUCCGCUGUGCCCAGAUGGGAUUAGCUGGUGGCGGGGGUAACGGCUCACCUAGGCGACGAUCCCUAGCUGGUCUGCAAGGAUGACCAGCCACACUGGAACUGAGACACGGCCCAGACUCCUACGGGAGGCAGCAGUGGGGAAUAUGGCACAAUGGGCGCAAGCCUGAUGCAGCCAUGCCGCGUGUGUGAAGAAGGCCUUCGGGUUGUAAAGCACUUUCAGCGGGGAGGCGUUACCCGCAGAAGAAGCACCGGCUAACUCCGUGCCAGCAGCCGCGGUAAUUC
rnacentral:rRNA from 1 species